UCAAAAUAGGAUAUUGGUACUGGUUGUUUAUGUUGUUUCAGUUCAAUCGCAAGCUUACCAUCCUCUACCUCAUCAUCUCCAACCAUUACCUCCUCAUCAUCCUCUUCCUCCCCAUCUCCAACCAUUGCCUCCUCACCAUCCUCUCCCUCCCCAUCUCCAACCAUUAGCUCCUCAUAUCCAACCCUUACCUCCUCACCAGCUUCUCCCUCCCCAUCUCAAACCCUUACCUCCUCACCAGCUUCUCCCUCCCCAUCUCAAACCCUUACCUCCUCACCAGCCUCUCCCUCUCCCUCACCAUCUCCUACCCGUACCGCCUCACCAGUAUCUUCCGCACCAUCUUCAACCCGUAAAAGUAGCCCCGAAGCCACCAGGUCGAUGUGUUCCACCAAGAGAUGAAUCCGUAACAAAAUUGAAAGAUGUCCAACUAGUCGGAAAAUAUCCUGCUGCCGAUAUUUCAAGAUAUUUGCGAAAGUCAAGUAGACAUUUCAGCAGACACGUUGCACAAGCAAGACGAACAGCUUCAUGUCACUGUAACCGACACAAACUCAAAUCUUCUCAUAGUACAUAUGGUGCACCACCACACCCGCCAUCACGCUUGUCUUCACAAUGGAUUGAUACCUGUCCUGCUGUUCAAAAUUUAUUUUAUUUCCCAAAAUCAACUGAAUUCCACGGACAACAUUGUUGGAUCUUACGACCAUGGACUAGACAAUAUGGAGGAUGUCCAUACGUUAAUUGUCAACAAAGGAGUUGUCUUGGAGUGACAGCUGUACAAGAACAUGUCUUCCCCGGAAUAAAGGCUUGCAGGCAUACCAAUUUCAAGACCAUGGUUUAUUAUAUCUGGUGUCCAAAACUUGGUCAGUUAAUUCGCCAAUACAAACGUCUACCACAAUGUUGUUCCUGUAUGAUUCUAAGAUGUUAGACGAAUUAUUACUAGUA